AAAAUAGAAAUGUCAACUAUGAUGAGUGUUUGAGGGGGAAAAAAAGUACAAAGGUAUCAAAAAAUACUGUGACACUUUUUUGGCCGAGUUUAAGAUGAGAUGUGAUAAAACGUCUACAUUGACUUUUUAAUUGCUUGUGUAAAAAUAGUUGGGGUCUUUGGAAUAUGUGCCCACCCGUCAAGUGAGAAAUUAAACAACCACAAACUGUGAGCAUGCAAGCCUGUUUCAAUUUUGAUUAAAUUCCACAACAACCUGCUCAUGAUAUGGCACCUAUGAUGGGAGAAGAUCCAAAGCCACUUUCAAGCGAUGGCGUAUAUCUGCGCACUAGUCUACGUUGUCUGAAACUCUAUCAUACACACAGACACCCACAUCCCCACAGGUGUGGAACCUCCGCUAUCAUGUCAAAGCAAAAAGGUGAAGAGUGAGCACUGGUGGCGGGGAGGAGAUCAACAUCUGCUUCGAGGCAUCUGUGUACACGUUCUUCUUGGAUCCUACCCACAGAAAUUUAAAGAGGACAUAUUAUGGGAAAUUGUCUUUUUCACAGUUGGGUCAGUGAAGCAAGCACCUGCCCGACUAACAAGUGCGGAAGUCCACAAAUUUGUCCUUGCUCGCCUGGCGUUUGGUGCAGGUGACGCAGAGCAGGCUGUUGUUCUCGCUCAGGGUCUCCUCCUCCGUAAAGUGAAAAAGACACGACUCGACGGUGCAGUCCUGCUGGUCGGGAGAAGGCCUGCGGGCCAGAGUCUGGAAGGCCAGCUCCGGGUCCCGGUUGACGAUCAUCGAAAAGUCGGCGUCGUCCAAGAAGCCAUCCGUGGAGCGCCGCGUUUCCGAGAAGGUGCCGAGGCGACUGCAGGCUGAAGGCGACUGAGAGUUGUUGACGGAGUCUCCUUUGUCGUCCUCCUUGUCGGGAACGUCGAGGGA